GUUACGCUGGCGGCGUGCCUAAUACAUGCAAGUCGAGCGGACCGACGGGAGCUUGCUCCCUUAGGUCAGCGGCGGACGGGUGAGUAACACGUGGGUAACCUGCCUGUAAGACUGGGAUAACUCCGGGAAACCGGGGCUAAUACCGGAUGCUUGAUUGAACCGCAUGGUUCAAUCAUAAAAGGUGGCUUUUAGCUACCACUUACAGAUGGACCCGCGGCGCAUUAGCUAGUUGGUGAGGUAACGGCUCACCAAGGCGACGAUGCGUAGCCGACCUGAGAGGGUGAUCGGCCACACUGGGACUGAGACACGGCCCAGACUCCUACGGGAGGCAGCAGUAGGGAAUCUUCCGCAAUGGACGAAAGUCUGACGGAGCAACGCCGCGUGAGUGAUGAAGGUUUUCGGAUCGUAAAACUCUGUUGUUAGGGAAGAACAAGUACCGUUCGAAUAGGGCGGRACCUUGACGGUACCUAACCAGAAAGCCACGGCUAACUACGUGCCAGCAGCCGCGGUAAUACGUAGGUGGCAAAGCGUU
rnacentral:rRNA from 1 species